GAUGAACGCUGGCGGCGUGCCUAACACAUGCAAGUCGAGCGAACAGACGAUGAGCUUGUUCCUUGCACGUUAGCGGCAGGCGGGUGUGUAACACGUGGAUCACCUACCUGUCUUUCUGGGAUAACUUGGGAAAACGGGAGCUAAUACCAGAGAAUAUAUUGAACCGUAGGGUGCGAUGGUAAAUGUCGGUUUUGCGGGCUCUUAUAGAGGGAUCGCCGCCGCUUUGGCUAGUUGGUAGGGUCAAGGCCUACCAAGGCUACGAUGCGUAGCCGAGGUGAUAGGGGGGUCGGCCACAUGGGAAGGGAAACAGGGACCAGAGUACUAAGGGAGGCAGCAGUAGGGAACCGUAGGCAAUGGGGGGGAGCCUGACGCAGCAAGGCGGCGUGAGUGAUGAAGGUCCUGGGUGCGGAAAGCUCUGUUAUUGGGGAAGAACAAAUGUGGAAUUAAAUGUGGAGUGCUUGACGGUACCUAAUAAAAAAGCAACGGCUAACUACGUG
rnacentral:rRNA from 1 species